rnacentral:rRNA from 1 species
UACCCAUGGCAAGUCGAACGGUGAACACGGAGCUUGCUCUGUGGGAUCAGUGGCGAACGGGUGAGUAACACGUGAGCAACCUGCCCCUGACUCUGGGAUAAGCGCUGGAAACGGCGUCUAAUACUGGAUAUGUGACGUGACCGCAUGGUCUGCGUUUGGAAAGAUUUUUCGGUUGGGGAUGGGCUCGCGGCCUAUCAGCUUGUUGGUGAGGUAAUGGCUCACCAAGGCGUCGACGGGUAGCCGGCCUGAGAGGGUGACCGGCCACACUGGGACUGAGACACGGCCCAGACUCCUACGGGAGGCAGCAGUGGGGAAUAUUGCACAAUGGGCGGAAGCCUGAUGCAGCAACGCCGCGUGAGGGAUGACGGCCUUCGGGUUGUAAACCUCUUUUAGCAGGGAAGAAGCGAAAGUGACGGUACCUGCAGAAAAAGCGCCGGCUAACUACGUGCCAGCAGCCGCGGUAAUACGUAGGGCGCAAGCGUUAUCCGGAAUUAUUGGGCGUAAAGAGCUCGUAGGCGGUUUGUCGCGUCUGCUGUGAAAUCCCGAGGCUCAACCUCGGGCCUGCAGUGGGUACGGGCAGACUAGAGUGCGGUAGGGGAGAUUGGAAUUCCUGGUGUAGCGGUGGAAUGCGCAGAUAUCAGGAGGAACACCGAUGGCGAAGGCAGAUCUCUGGGCCGUAACUGACGCUGAGGAGCGAAAGGGUGGGGAGCAAACAGGCUUAGAUACCCUGGUAGUCCACCCCGUAAACGUUGGGAACUAGUUGUGGGGUCCAUUCCACGGAUUCCGUGACGCAGCUAACGCAUUAAGUUCCCCGCCUGGGGAGUACGGCCGCAAGGCUAAAACUCAAGGAAUUGACGGGGACCCGCACAAGCGGCGGAGCAUGCGGAUUAAUUCGAUGCAACGCGAAGAACCUUACCAAGGCUUGACAUAUACGAGAACGGGCCAGAAAUGGUCAACUCUUUGGACACUCGUAAACAGUG